rnacentral:rRNA from 1 species
GCUUGCUAGCNACGGAUAUCUCGGCUCUCGCAUCGAUGAAGAACGUAGCGAAAUGCGAUACCUGGUGUGAAUUGCAGAAUCCCGCGAACCAUCGAGUCUUUGAACGCAAGUUGCGCCCGAGGCCACUCGGCCGAGGGCACGCCUGCCUGGGCGUCA